rnacentral:misc_RNA from 1 species
UUACCUCUCGAAAAAAAAAGAGGACCGAAAAAAAAGAAAAACAUAAAACGAACAACCAGCGCAAAACUCCCUCUCCUCUGCUUAUUCUUCGCUUUCCCCUGCCACCCCAUCGCUCACUCUCCGUGUCCCCACCAUCUCCCUUCUCUUCGACAUUGUGGCCGCUCCUCUUUUCUCCCCUCGUGUGCUCGUCUUCCACGUGCUUUGCUUGUUUCUUCUCUUCACGCUUACCCCUACGCAAACGAUCACAUACACUCGAACAACUUUUCAUCUCUCGUCUCCACAGUUCCCCUUGCUUCUUCCUCGUUACCUUUUAUUUUCCCGUUGCCCACGCAAGUGACCUUCCUCUCCCUCUCUCUCAUCUCCUCUUCGCUUUUCCCCACCACCGCCACCACCAUCGGACUUCACUGUAUCGUGAGGUACAGAGACACCGCAAGCGUGAACGGACUCUCGUGCGGAGGGGAGGGGGUAAAGCACCACGACGAACAAAUAUACCGGGAAAAGGCGCGACUCAUAGUGUGUGAAUCACGUGACUGAAGUCCGUCAGUGUUUUCUUUUUCUUCUGUCUUUCGUCGGGCCCUUUUCUGGAAUAUAAAGUUCCGUAUUACGAGUGAUAUCGUGCGUUGUCGUUGUCUUUCGAUCUCUCUCUCGCACACUCAAAGGGUAUAUCAGUCUCCGUCUCUUCGCCACCCUUCACCUGCCGCACGUACCCCUCGGCUCCUUCCAUUCUCUUUCCCCGUACUCUUGUCGUUUCACGUUUUCUUCACCUCCUCAUCCCCUCUGCCCUUUUUUUUUGUUUGUUUCUCGUUCCAGCGCACGUCUCUGUGCGUGUGUGUGUGUGUGUGUGUUUUGUUGGAGGAGGGUCUGUGUAUGUGCGUAUCUACUUGUGUGUGUGUGUGUGUGUGUGUGUACGUGUGUGUGUGUGCUUAAAACUACACGCUUCAGCGCGUUGCUUUUCUCCCGCUUGCUUCCCUCCCCUUUACUCUGCCACGUCUUUGCUCCGCUUUUCUCUUUAUUUUCCCUUGGAUUACCGUGGCUGUGUGUGCGUGCGUGUGUGUGUCCGGUUCCGCACACGUCCGCGCAG